GAUGAACGCUGGCGGCGUGCCUAAUACAUGCAAGUCGAGCGAACGGACGAGAAGCUUGCUUCUCUGAUGUUAGCGGCGGACGGGUGAGUAACACGUGGAUAACCUACCUAUAAGACUGGGAUAACUUCGGGAAACCGGAGCUAAUACCGGAUGAUAUUUUGAACCGCAUGGUUCAAAAGUGAAAGACGGUCUUGCUGUCACUUAUAGAUGGAUCCGCGCUGCAUUAGCUAGUUGUAAGGUAACGGCUUACCAAGGCAACGAUGCAUAGCCGACCUGAGAGGGUGAUCGGCCACACUGGAACUGAGACACGGUCCAGACUCCUACGGGAGGCAGCAGUAGGGAAUCUUCCGCAAUGGGCGAAAGCCUGACGGAGCAACGCCGCGUGAGUGAUGAAGGUCUUCGGAUCGUAAAACUCUGUUAUUAGGGAAGAACAUAUGUGUAAGUAACUGUGCACAUCUUGACGGUACCUAAUCAGAAAGCCACGGCUAACUACGUG
rnacentral:rRNA from 1 species